GUAGGGUGCGAGCGUUAAUCGGAAUUACUGGGCGUAAAGCGUGCGCAGGCGGUUUUGUAAUCCAGAUGUGAAAUCCCCGGGCUUAACCUGGGAAUGGCAUUUGGGAUUGCAAGGCUGGAGUGUGGCAGAGGAGACUGGAAUUCCCGGUGUAGCAGUGAAAUGCGUAGAUAUCGGGAGGAAUACCGAUGGGGAAGGCAGGUUUUUGUGCUGACACUGACGUUCAUGCAGGAAAGCGUGGGGAGCAACCAGGAUUAGAUACCCUGGUAGUCCACGCCUUAAACGAUGUUGAUAGGUUGUUGGGGGUUUGACACUCUCAGUAACGAAGCUAACGCGUGAAGUCGUCCGCCUGGGGAGUACGGCCGCAAGGUUA
rnacentral:rRNA from 1 species